AUGCCGAGAUGCCGAGUGUGGUUCCUGGGAAAGAAAGGAGCUAGAGGGGCCACGCUCUCUGCUCUGCACACUCACAGCCCCCCAACAGCUCAGCCCCUGCAAAAUGAACACCGCACAUGGUUUUCACUUUUCGCGCCUUGUUUGGUGAAAGGGAAAAAUCCUCUUCCGUUAGUGAAAACAGGUCCAGUUCCAGGUCCACAUGGUACAGGGUACCUUUGCCCCCUUUCUGUCUCCGCCCUUCUCCCCGAGCCGCACGUGGGUUUGGAAACGCAGUCCUGGUGGAGGACACAGGAUGAACAUGCGACCUGUGAGGAUUCAGGAGGCUGCUCGUCUCAUUCAAGGCACCAUUGAUUUGACAGCCCUUUCCCAAGUACCUUAACAUCCCCGAUUCUCCUCUUCUGCAGACGGUGAGAGCUCCUCCCCACUGAGCCUGACUCCCCAGGGAGCCCUGGUUGUGANCCUGGUGGAGGACACAGGAUGAACAUGCGACCUGUGAGGAUUCAGGAGGCUGCUCGUCUCAUUCAAGGCACCAUUGAUUUGACAGCCCUUUCCCAAGUACCUUAACAUCCCCGAUUCUCCUCUUCUGCAGACGGUGAGAGCUCCUCCCCACUAAGCCUGACUCCCCAGGGAGCCCCCAGGGAGCUCCCCAGAUGCGGUGGUCAGACAGGACUGUCUGCUCAGUCAAAAUUCAGAGCAGGACUGGGACUCCUUUUCAUUUCACAAGGUUAAAAAAAAUGGUUCUUCGUUCGUCCUCUGUGGGGCCACUAGGGGAGAAUUUGGAAAAUUUAUACACACAGUCAAUAAGCUUGUCAUCAAAGAGGCACGGGGGCUCCCAGCUGGGAAGAACAAUUGGCAAAUUCUCCAUUCUGGGCUUUGUUUAUCCUCUCAUUGUGAUGCAUAAUCACUGCUUCCUUAAGAAGGUCUGUGAUUCUUAAUUAGAUUUGACUUUGCAAAUCUUGCAUUUUCCUGGAGAGAACAAGCAAACCAAGUGAAUGGUGGUGGCCUUGACCUGGCAACAGAUUGCCCCCAAUCUUGCUUCUGGCAAAAAGCACGGAGGUUGGAUGGGGCGCUGAGGCAUCAUCACAGAAUCCCAGAAAGUGAGGCGCACAGGGACUCACUCUCAUCCACUCUCAGCAUCCCAGCCCGCCCAGCUUCUUCUCCCUUCUGGGUACGUGUCUCUGCUGGGGAUGGGGCGCCCAUUCCGCUCCAGAAAGACCACGAUCCCACGGGGCAACUGCAGCUGCCAGAGACUACUGUCUUUUGCUCAAAAAUUGGUGCUUCUGCCAGCCCCACCCCGUCCUUCCCCUCCCCUUUGAAGGGGCACGUGGGCACGUCUGCCACACACCCUUCA
ensembl:lncRNA